UUUCCGUAGGUGAACCUGCGGAAGGAUCAUUAACACUUAAUGCUAUCCAAAACCUUUUGGAUCAACCCAACCUUUCGCGAACCGUUCGUUUCGGUCCUCUCUUUUUGUCUCGAAAGAGGCGAGAGGUGGCCGGCUUUUUCUUUUGGCUUAUUUUUCAAACGCAACCAAAACUCUGAUGUACUUGUGUCUGAUGCCUUUUUUUCUUUUGUCCGCGGUCGCCUUCUGGGCAACGCGCCAAAAAAAAAAAAAUAAAUCUAACGCAAUACAACUCUUAACAACGGAUAUCUUGGCUCUC
rnacentral:misc_RNA from 1 species